UAAAAACUCAAAUCGGGAAGGAUGAAGAAUCUUCGACACGAAGGUUCGAGCCGAGCGAAGCGAGACAGCGUUGCGCAGCAACGACCCGCAGGGCGAGGCCAGUGGCCGAGUAAUCCUUCCCCCACCACCA
rnacentral:sRNA from 2 species